AAGGGUGGAAGGAUAUGUAUAUUUGGGAGUCAUCGGCAUAUAGGUGAUAGUUACAGGACUGGAUGGAGUCUGGUAGGUCAUCAGUUCAGCCAAAUUUAAUUUGGCUACAUAAUAGAAGUGCUUAGGAAUGCCACCCAUCAUGAGAUUUGUGCUUGAGCACGGUAGCAAAUAUCUGGGGGGACCCCUUUUCUGAUUCUUGGAGAAAACCUUUUAUUUUUCAUAGUAUUGAUAAUAUUGUGUACCUUAGUGCGGGUUGAGAAUGAAUGUCCAUUCUCAAUGCUACACCCAUUAGCAUGAGUGUGUAGUGUGAGAGUGUCAAGGGCGGAAUAUUGAAUAAUCGACCCUCAAGUAGGUUAGUCAUAUAGUAGGUGUAAAGAAUGAUGGAGGAAUAUUGAGUACUCCACCACCCUAACUGAGUGAAUGAUGCAAAUAGGAAAGAUUGUAUUCAAGAGUGUGAGUGUGUUUGAUUCGGAACUGAUUGUGUUGGGGCUAAAAUGACCUAGCUGUUGAUACCCCUGGAGCCAAACCUCAGUGGCUGAAUGGAUACGCACUGCGUGUACAUGUCAUCAAAGGUUACAACCAUACAAGAUACACAAGAUUUACAAUACUUACAAAACUGUAAAUGAUAGAUUUUGUUUCUUAUGUUCUUUUUAGGGAAUUUAUUUUGUAAAAAGAGCCAAAUUUUGGAAAGUGUUUUAUAGUACUGGCAGUUUUGUGUCUUAAGUGUAUGUUGAGAAUGAAUGUAUUUAUUAGUGUAAAUGUAUAGUGUGAGAGAAUCGAUGGUGCAAUAUUGAGCACUCCAUCACCCCUCAAAUAGAAUAUUGACUUCUCCAUCACCCUAAACGAAACGAGCAAAUGAUAUGUAAAUAAGAAAGAAUGUGUUUAAGUGAGUGAAGGUGGAAUGAGUUUAGGUGAAGGAACUUAUUUUGUUGGGGGCUGAAAUGCAAAGACCUAUCUGUCUUGAUGGAUAAGACCAAGGUCUAACUCCGGACCGCCACACCCAACAGGCGAUUAUCAGUUAUUAUCAAGGCCAACCAGUAAUUUAUUGUAAAUUACAAAAGCAGGAAUUGCCGGUGGAUUGUGAGCAUUGAUAGGCUCAACUCUGUACACACGUAAUUCACCAGAUUUGGAUCCCAUGAAUGUGCAAAUCCUUCAUCGGCGCAGUAGCUUUUUCCCAUCUUAGGAAUCUCUAUAUUUUCAGAGCUUGUCGCUUUGCGGAUUGUGAAGAUUUCAAGAAGUUCUAUCACGUCCUCUCUUGAGCCAAGGUAUAGUGGACAUGUCCGGUGAA